rnacentral:rRNA from 1 species
CACGUAGGGGGCAAGCGUUGUCCGGAUUUAUUGGGCGUAAAGAGCUCGUAGGCGGCUCAGUUAGUCGGGUGUGAAACCCCCGGGCUCAACCCGGGGACGCCACCCGAUACUGCUGUGGCUAGAGUCCGGUAGGGGAGCGUGGAAUUCCUGGUGUAGCGGUGAAAUGCGCAGAUAUCAGGAGGAACACCAGCGGCGAAGGCGGCGCUCUGGGCCGGAACUGACGCUGAGGAGCGAAAGCGUGGGGAGCGAACAGG